GUAAAUUUUCGUUUGUUCAUAUUCUGAAAUUGGAGUGAUGCAGAGAAGAUUAGCAUGGUCCCUGCACAAGGAUGACUUGCAAAUUUGUGAAGCAUUCCAUGUUUUU